rnacentral:lncRNA from 1 species
CUUUCAUCGGGCCGCAGGGCCACCUCUUCCAGGAUGGAGACUGGGUCUCUCAAGUUCUUCGAGGGCAAGGCCCACCCCAGGGGAACAGGUGACCAAGGCCCCUGCCAAGCAGGCAGAACCAGCCAGGAGUCCCGAGAGGCAGCCUGAGGGGGACCGGCGGCUCCAGAGAUCCUCACCGUGCCCUAGGACAUCAGCGAGGCCCCCUGAGAGGGAGCUGCGGAAGAGGACGGAGAGAGCUCUGGGGAGGGGCCAAGGAGGCCCAAGGCAACCGCCGGGCGGGUGGCAGAGUCAGGAGGAGCUGCCAGGGCCCCAGGGCCCUCACAGAGGCCUGGAAAGGAGCUGGAGCAGCCAGGAGGAGGGCCCGGGCCCUGGAGGCUGGCCAGCACUUGGGGAGCCCAGCCUGGGGGCGGCCAGAGCCCUGGAGGAUGCAUGGCGAGGCCCUCCCAGGGAGCGCAGGGAGAGCUGGGGGCAGCCUGAGGCCUGGGAGGAGCCCCCCAGUAAUGGGCUACAGGAGCACCCCCAGAAGCCGGCCCCAAGGGGCUGGGGCAGCCUGCAGGAGCUGUUCAGUACACCCCAACCUGGAAGCCCCUCAGAGCACUCCUGGGUAGGCCCGGCAGAACCCUCUUAUCCUCAGCGGCCUGAGACGCCCACCUCCAUGGGCUGGGGCCCUGAGAGGACCCCUGAGCUGGACUGGAGGGACCUGCUGGGCCUCUUCCGGGCCCCUGGGGAGGGGGCCUGGGCCCGACUCCCUAGACUGGACUGGGAAGGCCUCCUGGAGCUCCUGCAGGCCAGGCUACCCCACAAGGACCCAGCUGGACACUGGGGUGACCCAGCCAAGGCUUCAGGGCCACAGCCAGGUCCCCCAGAGACAAAGGAGGAUGCCCUGGAGCAGGAGCGACACAACCAGCCUGAAAGUUGGGCUGAGGCCACUGUCACCAAUGGACAUAGCCCUGGGCAGCAGCCCCAGCACCCUGCCCAGCUACCCAGCCCCGCCUGCACCUCCACCCAGUGGCCAAAGACACAAGUGACAAGUGGGCCAGCAACCUCACCUCCGUCUGCUCCGCCACACACAGCCCAGCUGGAGCACAGCAGGCCGGCAGAGGGCCCCAGCUCCCCGGAGCCAGAGGUAAGCUGCCUUUGCCUCAGAGGGGUAGCCAGAAAGCCAGCUCCAUCCCAGCAAUUAUCCUUAGAAAGGCUCCCUGAGAUGUGACCCCAGCCCCUGCACCCCGUCCCAAAGCCCAGCCCUGCCUGUGUCAUUCUGACCACUGCACGGGACAGCGGUGUGUGCACCUGCU